AGCACUGUACGGUAUCUGCAGCCAGCUGGAUCAUCAGCUGGUUUGUUCAUAAGUCAGUGCUAGAGAAUCUCAACAUAUGGCAUCGUUGGUCUCCUCGCUGCAUGUGUGUGGAGUCCUGGUAUUUAUGUUGAAACACAC